GCUCCCGUAGUCUAAUGGAUAGAACGGUAGCCUCCUAAGCCACUAAUCCGGGUCCGAUUCCCGGCGGGAGCA
rnacentral:tRNA from 1 species